rnacentral:rRNA from 1 species
ACGUAGGCACCAAGCGUUGUCCGGAUUUAUUGGGCGUAAAGAGCUCGUAGGCGGUUCGAUAAGUCGGGUGUGAAAACUUUGGGCUCAACCCAAAGCGUGCAUUCGAUACUGUUGUGACUAGAGUUCGGUAGGGGAGUGGGGAAUUCCUAGUGUAGCGGUGAAAUGCGCAGAUAUUAGGAGGAACACCGGUGGCGAAGGCGCCACUCUGGGCCGAAACUGACGCUGAGGAGCGAAAGCGUGGGUAGCAAACAGGA